AAGAUACUCCCUCCGUUCCGAAUUACUUGUCUUAGAUUUGUCUAGAUACGGAGGUAUCUAGUAUUAAAAUGAGUCUAGAUACAUCCGUAUCUAGACAAAUCCAAGACAAAUAAUUCGGAACGGAGGGAGUACAUC
rnacentral:pre_miRNA from 1 species